CUCCCCAAUCUGUGCUCCAGGGACCCCCUGAACCCAGACUGGGCACUCCCUCACUCAUCUGAGCUCUGGAGUCCUCCUGCCCCUUACUCCAUCUCUAUCUCUGUCCCCUGCCCCCAGCCUUGUCUUCCCCCCAAUCUGUGCUCCGGGGACCUUCUGGCCCCAGCCUUCCCACCCUCUUCUCCCACCCCCCACUCAUCUGUGCUCCAGGGUAGGACUUCGUCUUACCUCCAUCCCUGUCUCUGUCCCUGCACCCUGUCCCCCUCCCCAAUGCUUCGAGGGCCCCCAGCCCUUUACUCCCUGCCCUAUCUUUGUCCCUGCACCCCCACCUCCAGCCUUGUCCUGCCCCUAUCCUUCUCUCCCCCUACUCAUCUAGGUUUCAUCUCCAUUCCUGUCUCAGUGCCUUGUCCUGCUUGGCUGCUUCAGUUUCUGGGGUGCCUCAUCCCCAUCCCUGUCUCUGCUGGAGUCCCUGUGCACACCCCCCUCUCCCUCCAGCCUUGAUCUUCCUAUCUCCUCCUAUGCCCCAUCCCCUGCUCUGGGCUCUGGAGUCCCCUCAGCCCUCAUCUGGGCUCUGCCAGCAUCUCUAUUCUCAGCCUGGUCUUCUCCCAGUCUGUGCUUCAGGAAUCCCCCUGGCGUUUACCCGAAUCCCCAGCUUUGCUCCCUCCUCUAUCUGUCCCCUGUGGAGUCUUCCCAUCUCAGACUCUGUUUAGGUCCCCAGGCCCUCAUACUCCCCACUUCCCAACCCUGCCCAGCCCCUCACUGACCCAUAUCUGCUCCUAUACCUGCCAGCCCUCUAAACCUCCCUAGCCAGUCUGUUCUCCUUCCCCCUCUCCACUCCUCUGGAGCCACUCAUUCCUUUUCGAGGUCUAGGGAGCUUGGCCCUUACUCACUGGCACCGUUGGCCUAUAUGUCCCUCCUCAGCAGCCCUCCCAGGUUCUGUCCCCUUCCACUCUUGGACUUGGCUUAUUCCAACCCAGGCUCUUGUCUUUCAUCUUGCCUUCCCAUCUGUGCCCCAUGUUCCCCUCCCUGGCUCUGCCCAGGUCCCUUGGCAGCUGCCCCCCUAUUCCAUCCCCAUCUCUGUACCCUGUCUAUAUCUUACAAACCAAGCUGUCUGGUAAGUUCCUCCUCUGUCCCUUGUUCUUCCUCCCUGCCUCCAUGUGUGCUUGUAGUCAGGAUUCCUGAGUCCCUUCUCACUUUCCUGCUUCCUCCUGUCCUGGUCUGUGACCUGCAUCGUUGUCUUUCUACCCCUGGACGUGCCAUAUGUAUGACUCCAUCCUAUAUCCCUUGGGGGAGCCACAGGCUUCACUCCAAGACUCUCCUAUCUUGUUGUUUGCCUCAUACCUCACUCCCAUCUUUAGCUCUGUCCAGGAUCUGGUGUUCCUUAUCUCCCAGCUCUGGCCCUCAUCUCCGCCUUUGGACUGGAGUGUCUUCCAGCUUCUCUGUAGCCUGCUCCCUACUUUCUGGCCUGUGCCUUCUAUCUCUUCCCUUCUACUCCUUUGCUCUGCUCUGUGGCCCUUUGAUCCCACAUCCCAGGCUCUUCUCCAGGUCACACCCCUCCUACUGCAGUUUGUGCCUGGCAUCCCUUCUUCCCUGGGAACUCUGGCUCAGCUCCCUAGCCAGAUUGCUUUCCCAAUUCCCAGGUUUCUUUUCAGGCUCCAAUGUUUAUGUCAAACUGUUUCCCCCACCUCCCUACCAUAAUUCCAUCUCCCAACUAUCCUCAGUAUCCUUAGUAUCACUGUCCUCCCCUUCACUCAUGGCUAUGCCUGCCUUUGCCCUCUGCUCUCCCAGUCCAGUGUGGUUCCUUAUAUUUCCUUCUUUCUCUGACCUCUCCCUCCCCCUCUCUACCCCCAUCCUGCUCUAGGGCAUGUAUCCCUUCUCCUCCAAUUCAGGCUUCUCUUUUCCAUAUAUUUCUACCUCUUGAACCUUUCUCAUUCUAACCACCAUGAUCUGUGCUUCCCUUCUGUUUUGUUUUUUGGUUUCCUUAUACCAUGGACUGCUCUUUAUCUUCCUACCACUUGGUUUUGUGCCCUUCCGAUCCUAUAUCUUCAUCUCUAUUCUGGCUAGCCUAGUCACCAUCCAAUAUUAUUCACCCCUAAACCUCUUUUAUUCCUGGCUUUACUCCAUAUCCCAUGCCACCCCCAGACCUUGCCCUCCAUCCCUGACUUAGCCUGUAGUUAUGAUGGGUGGGGGUGGAGGGGAAAGGCAUUCUUUCUUUAUUCUGAUCUCUCUUUCUUUUCUUUCUCAGGUUCUGCUCUGUAUUCUCUGUCCCUCACCCCUUUCCUUUCUUCCUUAGGUUGGUCUUCCUUCCACUAAUCUAACCUUGGCCCUCCUUUCAACUCUCCCUCAUCUUGAGUUUAGCUCCAUAUCUCUACCACAUGAUUCUAGUCUUCACCCACCUUUCCUUUCUCUAGAUACUGUCCAGCAGCCCCCUUUCCCCUUUAUCCCAGGGUCUGCCCUCUAUUCUCCCCACUUCAAGGCUCUGUCCAGCAUCUUCCCCAUCCCAGGCUGUAAUCUGAACCCCACUCCUACAUACAUGCUGUUCCCUUUCCAUUCUACAUGGUGUCCCAAAUCCUAUUCCCCUCCCCUCUGUUCUGCAUCCACCCACAGCCAUGACUCUGUUUAUGCUCUUCCUCAUCUCCUAUUUCUUCUGCUUGCCUUCUCCCCCUUCCCCACUUUCCUUCUUGUUGUAUUGGGCAUUGCAUCCCCUUCCUCCAAGAACAUGCUCCUAAUCUACUUCAUCCCCAAAUUCUGCUUUUAUUCCCGACCUCCCACCCAGAGUUCUGUUCUACAUCCCUCCAACUCCCAUCUUUGCUCGGCACUCUUGGGCAGGACACCUUGUCACUUUCCUAGCUUGGCUUUGGUCUGAUCUCUUUUUUGCCCCUGAAUCUUGCCCUUCUCCACACUUCUGGCUCUCUCCUUUAUCUCCUCAUAUUUCUCUGCAGCUACCCUUCUCCAUCCCUUUAGCUUCCCUCUAAACAGCAUUUUCUUUAUCUCCAGUGGUGAUAUCCAUUAUUGUGUCCCCAGAGGAGCUCUUCUCUUGUCUCCAUCUGUUUCUCCUUGGCCUCAUUAUUGCUGUUAUUCUCGCAUCCUUUUUCCUACCCUUUGGACCCUUUUCUUUCUUUGACAUUAGGCUUCCUUCUUCUUUCCAAUAAUCUUAGUUCUCCUUAGCUAUGCCUCUAAUCUUCUGUCUUGUCAUAUUUGCUCUGAAGUGUCUGGAUUUCCUUGUCUCCAGGUUCCUUCAAUUCCCCAAUCAAUUUCCUUUGCCACAGAUUAGUGGUGGCUAAAACCGAACUUUAAUGUUUUAGUGUUGAAUGGCACUGAGCGAGGUAACCAAAGGGUUGAGGAGAGUCCGAGCUGUUGUCUUUGACUUGCUAUGUCUAUCGUUUCAUGUUUGUUGCUCUUUCUGCGGUUGCCUCUUUGGAAAGGACCAUGAUGUUCUGUUACUGCUUUCAGGAAAGUUGCUCUUGUAACCACCAUGUGUGUUUCAUUUGUUUAGAGUCCUCACUGAAUCUUUGGAAAGAAAAUUCCCAUGAAUCAUCCCUCCCCCUUCAAACAAGCUAUCAAGAUACUGCUAGCUCUGAAGGCUGAUCUGCUGUUCCUUUCUUGGCUGCUUUGCAGAUGUUGACUAUCUGCACCGAUUAGAGUCUCCAUGGCCUGGACGUUAUCGAAAAAUCAUUCUGAAUAAAAGAUCUGUCGAGUGACUGAUCCCAGCAUCAAGAUGGUGGGAAAAACUAAAGCAGAAUUUGCUGUUGGCAUGUCUGGUGAUCAGUUCCGUGACUGUCUUUUACCUGGG